UAACUUUAUUACUGCAUUUAAAAUGUAGUAAGAUACAUGGUGUAAGUUCUAAAUUUUUUAAAAAAUACAGUGAAUAUUUGUAGAAAUAAUGUAUAAAUAUUAAAAAAUAGCUGUUGUAUUAAGUGACUAUAUUGUCACAUAAAAACCUGUAGUAACUUAAAGAAUUAUUUAUGGAUACCUUUAGUUUUAUUCUUUAAAAUGUUACAUGUUCACCCACCAGUAUCAUUUUCAGUCAGUUAUGAAUUUCUUAUUAACAUACAGAUAACUUGGAUUCUACCUUUGCCACAUUAUUUGUUAAUUCUGAAGUAAAUUUCAUUUAAUAUAUCAUCUUUUAUUUAAAUAGUUUUACAUUAGGCCAUUUAAUUUUAAAGCAUAACUUUAUCCUCAUUCAUGUAUUUCUUUUAUACAAGGGAAUUUUUUAGUACUUUAUUUUGAAUUGAAUGUUUUAAGUAGUCUUUAAGAAGAAUUUGUAUAUUUGUAUUUUGGUUGAUUUUAUUGCUAUGCUAUUACAACCAUUGAUUUUAUUUGGUGUAUUCCUCACUAUUUGUUAUCUCUAUUUGACUUAGGUAAACUUAGAUUUACUUCUGUUUUUUAACCAUUGUAUAUCUGGAUUUAUAUUUAGAAAAUACAUUUUUUGUAAUUCACUAGUUACACUAAACAAUAUCAAACUAAUAAGUUUCAUAUAUUUGUAUGCAUUUUGUACAGUUGUGAAAAUUUUUCAAAAAGCAUCGUGUCAUAUAUUACAUUUUAAGUUGCUACGCAUUCCUUAAGGGGCAUAUUCUAUUCAAGAUACUGAGCCUAGCC
rnacentral:lncRNA from 1 species